AAAAACCUUUACUCAUGCAACACAAUGCUGUAGUGGCAUAGCAACAUUGACCUGUCUAUUGGCUGUUUCCCUUCAUCUGUACUAUGUUGCUACCACAUAUUUUUUUUUUUGCAAGACCAAAGUGCUUUUGGAAUGUGUUGCUCAUUACCUUAGUGUAAAUUGUGAAUAGUGUCAUUUUGUGGCACAUUUCUCUUAUUCAUCACUUUUAGUUUAAAUAUCUCCCCAAACUGAUGCUGUAGGUAGAAAGACAAGAGAGUGAGUUAUGAUACAUUACAAUUGGUAAUGGAACCAUGAAUAAAGGAUGCUAUUGUUUCAUCAUCAUGCUGAGAUUGCAGCCCCAAUAGUGUAUUAAAGUGUUCUGAGAAUCUCAAUGUAAGGCAGAAUUAUAUUCCAUUAUUGCAUGUGUAAUAAAAAAAGUAAUUUGCAUCUUUAUUAACUUUGAUCAUAAACAAUGUAAAACUAUAUCAUAUGUAGCCAAGGCAGAACAUUUUUUUUUUUCUGAUCUAAUUGCUUGUGCGGUACUUCAGACGGGCAUCAAAAUACAACGAUAAUUUAAUUCAUGUAACAAAUAUUAGAAAUGUAGUAAAAAUAACAGAACAUACAGGUCACCGUGUGCCUUUGUGAAGCUUUUAAAAAUUUCAUGAAAUAUAUGCAUGCUUUAAAUAAAUGAUCAGUUCACACUUUUGAAUAGCCAUAAUAUUAGAUUCUUUUGCUUAAGUAAUGACUUUGAAGCAAUUUUGG